AUGGGAUCAAUUAUUGUCUGUUCCUUAGAGAGUGUCAAAAGACCAGACCAGCUGCUGUUGCCUGACCAAGUAUUUUUUGCCUCAGAAGAAAAUCAAAGCAAACAGAGGGAGACAGAGGAGCCAGUGGAAAAUGCUGAGGAGCAAAGAAGAUACAGCCAGCAAAGGUGUACCAGUGACAGAACUUUGAGAGUCACAACGAGGUGGAUGCACUGUACAGUGCACUGCAGGUGGUGUAUUUAUAGUAAUUUAUGCAUGAAAAAUUCUAAAAAGAAAAAUUUGUCAAAGAAUUAUCCUUUUCAAUCUCAUGAUUUGCUAUCCAGUGUAGAAUAUUAAGAAGUGCACUGCAGUUAGAAGAAAAUGAAUGCAUUUCAAUAAGCUACGGGUGUGUUUUGUAAGUGAAAGAUGAUGAACUGCUGCAGUGAUGCCAGCAAGCAACAGAUGAACUCGGCCAUAAACUUGUUCAGACAUCCACCAGUCUCUUUGCGAGUAUCCAGACCCGUUGAUGUUUGUCCAGCUCACCUGCUCUAUCCAAUCUGGAAGAUGGCCAGCAGCCUGUGUACAAAGCCCUCUUCAAGGAGAUCUUCACCUGAAUUCACCUGAAUUCAGAAAACCAAAGAGGACCUCAGUGAGAACAGGCGGCCAGUUGGGGGCAGUGAUUCACAGGGUUCUGCCAAAUGAUUGCAUUAUUCUAUAUUCUAUAGAGAUGUGUAUAGUUUUAUUAAUAUGUCAGAUAUAUCAGAUCUUCUAAUAAAAGGUAAAUUUCAGUGAUUAUCUUGCCCUCUAAAUUUACUAGUAUUGCCAAUCUAAAGCAGUAUUCAUUAUUUUGUACAUGACCACUUUCUUGAGAAAGAAAUGCACUCACUGAAUGUUGUUUGUAUGCUUAUAUAGAUUCCCCUCUAAAAGUAUUGGAAAAGUGAGGACAUUUCCCUGGGGAGGUGUUCCGGGCUUGUCCCACCAGGGAGGAGACCCCGGGGAAGACCCAGGACAGCCUGGAGGGACUAUGUCUCUUGGCUGGCGUGGGAACGCCUUCCUCAGAAGAGCUGGAGGAGGUGUCCAGGGAAAAGGAAGUCUGGGCAUCUCUGUUUAGGCUGCUGCCCCCGCAACCCGGCCCCAGAUAAGCGGAAGAAGAUGGAUGGAUGAUGAAUAAGAGACAAGAAAUCAGCAUUUCAGCUUGUAUUUCCAGGUAUUUAUAUCUGGACAUACACAACUUUGAAGAUUGCACCUUUUGAUUGAACUCACCCAUUUUUCAUGUGAGCCAAAUUCUUGGAACAUGUGACUGACAGGUGUGUUUUGUUGCCCUAGUGUGUCAUUGACCAUUCAAACAAUAAAUAGUGCUGAAUGUCUAUGCUCAGUUUCAGAUUUGUCUAUAUAUAUUUAUUUUCAUGUUAGUGUUACAGCUUAGGCUGUAUCUCAGUAUAGAAUCCUUAACAGCUAUGCAUUUUAAGGAUGAAUCACAGUUUCUGCUUAUAUAUUAUUCAGACGUUUAAGGUUUAAUAUUAUUGUUUCUUUGUUGCUAAAUAUUAGGCACAGAUAAGUCACAGUAAGUUACUGUAAUUAAAUAAAUGUACACAGUUGAUGUUUCUGAGGUUGUAAAUAUUCUCUCUGCUGGUAACUGUAGUGUACUGCUGCAAAAGGCAUCAUUGCAUGAUCACUGGUGUCCUCUGUGAAGACUAACAUGUUUUUGCUUGCAACUAAAUCUUAAAUGCUAGCGAUUAUUCUGUGUCCAGUGUCUAAAUUAAUGCUUUAUUUAAUUUUUUAGCAUGCCUCCUCAAGCUUAAUUGUAGCAUCCUCUCUUCAUGUGUGUAAUUUUUUUUAGGGACCAGGCGUGUUUUUCAGAGACCAGACAUAUUUUUCAACGAUCUGACGUUUUUUUCAGGACCAGCUGUAUUUUUCUUGACUUGACGUAUUUUUCAGACGCCAUAUGUAUUUAUCAGAGACGAGUAUUUUCCAGAGAUCAGAUGUAUUUUUCAGCACCAGACGUAUUUUCAGGACCAGCUGUAUUUUUUAAUGAUCAGAUGUAUUUUUCAGGGUUGGACAUAUUUUUCAGAGACUAGACAUAUUUUUCUGGACCAUAUUCCCCAAAUUGGGCUCACUAAGUGUUGAGUGGGAAAGUACCAUAAAUCCCAAAAUGGGAUCAGAAAUUUCACUUUUAGUCCAAAGACUAAAAAUAACUAAAACCAAGACAGACUAAAUCCAAGAGUAACUAGAACAAAGACUAACUAAAACCAAGACUAAAACCAAGAACAAGACUCACUUAAAUCAAGACUAAGACUAAUGAAAACCAAGACUGAGACUAAUGAAAAAUAAGCCUAACUAAAACUAAGACUAACUGUCUAACCAGACAAUUCAACUCUUUUGAUGUCAUAAUACACACCAUGUUUGGAGGAGAAAUGGCACUGCACAUCACCCCAAAAAUACCAUACAAGCAGUGACAUUUGGAGGUAGGAACAUCAUGGUGCAGGGCUGUUUUUCAGCAUACGUUACUGGCAAACAUCAUAUAAUUGAAGGAAGGAUGAAUGGAAAAAUGUACUGAGACAUUCUUGAUAAAAAUCUGCUGUCACCUACCAGGGUGAUGAAGACGAAACAAGGGUGGACAUUUCAGCAAGACAAUGGUCCCAAUCACAGCCAAGGAAACUCAGUUGGCUUGAGAGAAAGAAAAUAAAACUCCUAAAAUAGCCCAGCUAGUCACCUGACUUGAAUUCAGUUGAAAAUCUAUGGAAAGAACUGAAAAUCAGAGUUCAUAGAAGAGGCCCACAGAACUUUCAAGAUUUAAAGACUGUUUGUGCGGAAGAAUGGGCCAAAAUUACACCUGAACAAUGCCUGUGACUAGUUUCUCCAUACAGGAGGCGUCUUGAAGCUGUCAUACCUAACAAAGUACUUUUGUACAGAGUAUUAAAUAAAUUUCAGUAAACACGUUCAAUACUUUUCCCUGUGUCAUUUCAC
rnacentral:lncRNA from 1 species